UAUAAUUUAUAGCUAUAUACUCUACUUGCAUUUCAUGCCCUAAAAUAUUCUUCUCUUGACUUGUUGGGGUAAAUUUGGACAAAAGUAUAAUCUAUAACAACCCUAAAAAUUAACGUUUUGAGCUUCUUUCAAGUCAUUCCAUUUUCUUCCAUAUAAAACCUUAUUUCUCUCUCUUUUCGUCUCUCUUAAAUUUGUACCACCGAUCAAGAAUUUGAACCAACCAAAAGCCGUUCAUUCCAACGUAUUAUUUUUGGUUUUUGAUUGCACCAGUUUACCUCUUUUUAUUGUAUCUUUUCCUUUUUGUUCAUCCUAACAUUUGAUUUUCUUGAUUUCGAUUCCUCAGAUGAAAACUGAUGAGCAUGAUGCCUUUAAUGAUGUUGAAGGCACCAUAAGUGUAAGUGGAGGCUCUUUCUUAGAAGGUGGUGUUAAUAUGGAAGUUAGUUCUGAUCUUGAUACUAAAACUGAUGGAAAUUCUCUUAUAGUUGAUAUUCGAAAUGACAAACAAGUAUAUAGACAAGAUGUUGUGAGGCGUAAUGAUGGAAGUAUGAUUGGGGUUGUGACUGAAGUUGCUGGUGAAUCAGAUUCUGAUAGCGAUAUAACCGAUGAUGAGGAUGAUUCCGAUGAAGAUGAAAAGGAUGAAGAGGAAGGCGAGGACGAAGGAGGGGAGGGAAAGGAUGAGGAUGAAAAUGUUGAGAAUGAGGGAGUUGAUGACAAUGAGAGCAGUGAUGACGAUGAAUCUGCCGGUGAUCACAAAAGGGAUCCCCUUACUGGAGACCAGGUUCGUGUGUUGUGGAUGGAUGAUUCAGAGACCAUGCACCGUCCAAAUGAACUGACUGUUGUCGAUAGAGGUUUUUUACAUGGUGAUUAUGUUGCCUCUGCCCUGGACCCCACUGGGCAGGUUGGCCUAGUGGUGGAUGUAAAUAUAACUGUUGAUUUGUUAUCCUCUGAUGGCUCUGUUAUUAAAGAUGUGUCGUCCAGGGAUUUGAAGCGUGUAAGGGAUAUUGUUGUUGGUGAUUAUGUAGUUUCUGGUCCUUGGCUCGGUAGAGUUGACGAUGUUCUUGAUAAUGUGACUGUUUUAUUUAAUGAUGGUUCUGUAUGUAAAGUAGCGAGAGCUGAACCAUUGCAGCUCAGACCAAUUGCAAAGAACUUGCUUGAAGAUGGGCAUUGUCCUUAUCAUCCUGGUCAACGUGUUAAGGCAAGUUCCUCCUCAGUUUUCAAGAAUGCGCGGUGGCUAUCAGGUACAUGGAAAAAAAGCCGGCUUGAAGGCACUGUCAUAAAGGUCACAGUAGGGUCAGCUUAUGUUCAUUGGAUAGCUUCUGCAGGCUAUGGACCUGAUUCUUCUAUUUCUCCACCAGAAGAACAGAAUCCGAAAAACUUGAAAUUGUUAUCUUGUUUCACUCAUGCUAAUUGGCAGCUGGGUGACUGGUGUCUUCAUCCAACCCUUGCGCAGUCUUCCUCUAUAUCUUUGGAUAAAGGUUUGUCUAAGUUGCAACUUAAUGAAUCUAAGCCUGAUCACCAAGAGAGUGAUGCGGAUGAAGCCAUACCCGAAGAACCCAAUGGACAAGUUGAAUUGAUAGAUCUUGAUGGGACCGGCACUUCAGAGAGUGCUGAGGGAAAUGUUCAAAAUAAUAUCCCACUAAAAUCAAGUUCUUGUUGUAGUUCAUUGUCGAUUUCAAAGAACACGGACACGGACACAGGCAAUGACAAGUGGAAUAUUCAUCGAAAGAAACUUCGUAGAGUUGUAGUUAAGAGGGAUAAGAAAACUCGGAAAAAAGAAGAGAACUAUGAAAGAGCUCUGUUGAUUGUUAAUACUAAGACUAGAGCUGAUGUUGCAUGGCAAGAUGGGACUGUACAGAGGGGACUAGACUCCACAUUGCUGAUUCCAAUUGAAAGUCCAGGUGAUCAUGACUUUGUUGCUGAACAAUAUGUAGUAGAAAAAGCUGCUGAUAAUGGUGAAGAGACCAAUGAAGUCAGACGUGUCGGGGUUGUCAAAAGUGUUGACGCUAAGGAGAAGACGGCUUGUGUGAAAUGGUUAAAACAGGUUUCUCGGCCAGAAGAACUUAGGGAAUUUGAUAAAGAGGAAGUUGUUAGUGUUUAUGAACUUGAAGGGCAUCCUGAUUAUGAUUAUUGCUAUGGGGAUGUAGUCGUUCGCUUGUCCCCAGUUUUUAUGGCUGCAGAGGUGGCAUCUAUUGACCCCGGAGAAAAACACUGGUUAUCAAAUGGCCCAAAUUUUGGCAAGGGGGAGCCUAACAAGGAAGACGAUGUGCCUGAUGAGGCAGCUCGUAAUGAUAUCUCGAAUCUCUCCUGCGUUGGAAAUAUCACUGGCUUAAGGAAUGGUGAUAUUGAAGUAACAUGGGCUGAUGGAAUGGUUUCUACGGUUGGCCCUCAAGCAGUGUAUGUUGUUGGUCGAGAUGAUGAUGAAUCUAUUGUUGCUGGGAGUGAAAUUAGCGGUGAUGCUGCAAGCUGGGAAACAGUUGACGAUGAUGAAAGGGAUGCCCUUGAUAACACAGAGAAGGAAUCAUCUGCACCAAUCACAGAAGUCAAUCCUGAUGCAGGAGAAGACAUUGUAAUUACAGAUAAUGGUGUGGGAAAUGGGCCAUUGGCUUUUCCUCGUGCUGCUUUAGGAUUUGUUUCCAGAAUUGCAUCUGGUAUAUUCUCUCGAGGACGUAGGGAUGGAGAAUCGUUUGGCUCAGACGAGUCUUUGGAAACCAGUGGGCAACCAGAGGACACAAUGCGUAAAUCUAUCGAUAGUGGUUCUCGCAAUGUGUCUAACUCUCAAGAUCCUUGUGUUAUUGACAUUGGUGGUGGACAAACAAACUCAAACAACAGCGAGCUACAUAGUGAAGCUGAUUCUGCAAUAUUGCCGGAUAUGCCUGAAACCCUGGGUAAUUCAAGGUCCAAAGACCCAUGUGCUGCAGUAUGCACUGCUGACAACGGCUGCAGCUUUAAGCGCUUUGAUUUUGCCCAAGAUCCGGAUGAUCACUUUUUCCUUGGUGCUAACGUUCUCAGCAAUAAUGGUAGAAAAUGGCUCAAGAAGGUGCAGCGAGAUUGGAACAUUCUGCAAAACAACCUCCCAGAUAGCAUUUACGUACGAGUAUACGAGGACCGAAUGGAUCUGUUGAGAGCAGUAAUUGUAGGGGCUUAUGGAACACCUUAUCAAGAUGGUCUCUUCUUCUUUGAUUUCCAUCUUCCUCCAGAGUAUCCUGAUGUUCCUCCGUCAGCACAUUAUCAUUCAGGUGGCUGGCGUAUAAACCCGAAUUUAUACGAGGAGGGCAAGGUGUGCCUUAGUCUUCUGAAUACCUGGACAGGUCGAGGAAAUGAAGUAUGGGAUCCACAAUCCUCAAGCAUCCUUCAAGUUUUGGUUUCACUUCAAGGAUUAGUUUUGAAUUCGAGGCCUUAUUUUAAUGAAGCUGGAUACGAUAAGCAAAUCGGGACAGCUGAAGGCGAGAAAAAUUCAUUGUCCUACAAUGAGAAUACCUUUUUGCUUAGUUGCAAAACGAUAAUGUAUCUUAUACGGAAACCUCCGAAGGACUUUGAAGAUCUCGUAAAAGAGCAUUUUAAGCAGCGUGGUUAUUAUAUCUUGAAAGCUUGUGAUGCGUACAUGAAAGGUUAUCUGAUCGGUUCCUUAGCAAAGGAUGCUUCUUUAACGGAAAGAAGUGAAGCGAAUGCCACAUCUGUUGGUUUCAAGCUGAUGCUGGCUAAGAUUGUGCCCAAACUUAUUACAGCUUUGCAUUCAAUAGGAGCUGAAUGUCACGAGUUUAAACACUUGCUGCAGUCAUAGUUCGCACUUCGCACAUUCAACAGCCUAUCUGUACUGUCGAUUUAAUCCUCCAACUGGAAUCAGCUCAAAGGCUCGGGCUAAUAUGCUGAACGACAUACCUUGAUUCUUUUGCAUUAGAAAGACAACGAGAUAGGUAGAAAUCAACUUGUCUCUUUGCUUUUUUGAUUUUCGGUUAGAAAUCAGAAACUCCCAACCCUUCUCAUUGAAGGCAGAAAGCUUAUCAAACCCUCUUUUUGGUUGUUGUUUGGGGUUUAUAUACUUCAUACCAUUUUAUACUGUUUAUUUAUAAAUUUCUGGGAAGAAAUUUGCAAAAGAAAUGUUAUUCGCUUUCAUUGUACAAUUAUAGUCGCACAUCGCCAAGAAUCACCCGAAAACAAAACAAUAUAUAUAGCGAGAAAGCUGAAAAUGAAGGUCGGGUACUUGUGUAGAUUUUAUGUGGUUCUUGUACAAAUAAAUCAUUAGCCUAAUUACCUACUCGAAGUUGUGUAAUAUCAGCUCAUUGCUUCAGAAUUCAAGAAAUUAUCAAAAAAUCUUGAUUCUUGUUAGUUUAAUAGUUUACUUCCUUUA